CACGUAGGGGGCGAGCGUUGUCCGGAUUUAUUGGGCGUAAAGAGCUCGUAGGCGGCUAAGUAAGUCGGGUGUGAAAACUCCAGGCUCAACCUGGAGACGCCACCUGAUACUGCUUUGGCUAGAGUCCGGUAGGGGAGCAUGGAAUUCCUGGUGUAGCGGUGGAAUGCGCAGAUAUCAGGAGGAACAUCCGUGGCGAAGGCGGCUCUCUGGGACGGUACUGACGCUGAGACGCGAAAGCGUGGGGAGCGAACAGG
rnacentral:rRNA from 1 species